CUCACUAGGCUUAACUUUGGGAUAAUCACCCUCAUCCCCAAAGUUACGGGUGCAUCGGAUAUCCGUCAAUUCCGCCCGAUCACGGUGAUCAAUGUCAUUUUCCGCCUUCUUGCGAAGGGGUACGCCAAUAGGGUGGCCCCAAUAGCUAACUGGAUCACUCACCCGGAUCAGUCGACAUUUAUCUAGGGCCGCUAUAUCCUUGAAGGAGUCCUAGUGUUUCACGAAGCACUCCAUGAGGUCCACUCCAAACACCUCAAGGCGGUCUUCCUGAAACUAGACUUCCACAAGGCAUAUGACAUGGUCAGCUGGACCUUCCUUCGGGAAUGCCUGCUCCGGAAGGGCUUCGACGACCAUUGGGUGACCUGCAUGAUGCAAAUGUUCACCUCGGGUCGGACCGUGGUUAACAUAAACGAUGAGAUUGACCCAUACUUCCCCACCUUUUGUGGGGUGCGUCAGGGUGAUCCUUUCUCCCCGUUCCUCUUCAGCAUGGUGGUUGUGUUGGGGAAGGUAGUAAUUUCAAAAAAAAUCCUACGCACAUGCAAGAUCAUGGUGAUGCAUAGAAACGAGAGGGGAGAGUGUGUCCACGUACCCUAG
rnacentral:rRNA from 1 species